rnacentral:rRNA from 1 species
UACGUAUCGUCCAAACGUUAUUCGGAAUUACUGGGCUUAAAGGGUACGUAGGCGGCGCUGUCAGUCGGGUGUGAAAUCCCUCGGCUCAACCGAGGAAUUGCGCCCGAUACUGCAGUGCUUGAGGGAGACAGAGGUAAGCGGAACUGAUGGUGGAGCGGUGAAAUGCGUUGAUAUCAUCAGGAACACCAGUGGCGAAAGCGGCUUACUGGGUCUCUUCUGACGCUGAGGUACGAAAGCUAGGGGAGCGAAGGGG